rnacentral:rRNA from 1 species
GAGCUCGUAGGCGGUUUGUCGCGUCUGCUGUGAAAUCCGGAGGCUCAACCUCCGGCCUGCAGUGGGUACGGGCAGACUAGAGUGCGGUAGGGGAGAUUGGAAUUCCUGGUGUAGCGGUGGAAUGCGCAGAUAUCAGGAGGAACACCGAUGGCGAAGGCAGAUCUCUGGGCCGUAACUGACGCUGAGGAGCGAAAGGGUGGGGAGCAAACAGGCUUAGAUACCCUGGUAGUCCACCCCGUAAACGUUGGGAACUAGUUGUGGGGUCCAUUCCACGGAUUCCGUGACGCAGCUAACGCAUUAAGUUCCCCGCCUGGGGAGUACGGCCGCAAGGCUAAAACUCAAAGGAAUUGACGGGGACCCGCACAAGCGGCGGAGCAUGCGGAUUAAUUCGAUGCAACGCGAAGAACCUUACCAAGGCUUGACAUAUACGAGAACGGGCCAGAAAUGGUCAACUCUUUGGACACUCGUAAACAGGUGGUGCAUGGUUGUCGUCAGCUCGUGUCGUGAGAUGUUGGGUUAAGUCCCGCAACGAGCGCAACCCUCGUUCUAUGUUGCCAGCACGUAAUGGUGGGAACUCAUGGGAUACUGCCGGGGUCAACUCGGAGGAAGGUGGGGAUGACGUCAAAUCAUCAUGCCCCUUAUGUCUUGGGCUUCACGCAUGCUACAAUGGCCGGUACAAAGGGCUGCAAUACCGCGAGGUGGAGCGAAUCCCAAAAAGCCGGUCCCAGUUCGGAUUGAGGUCUGCAACUCGACCUCAUGAAGUCGGAGUCGCUAGUAAUCGCAGAUCAGCAACGCUGCGGUGAAUACGUUCCCGGGUCUUGUACACACCGCCCGUCAAGUCAUGAAAGUCGGUAACACCUGAAGCCGGUGGCCUAACCCUUGUGGAGGGAGCCGUCG